CUGCUGCCUUCCGUAGGAGUUUGGGCCGUGUCUCAGUCCCAAUGUGGCCGAUCACCCUCUCAGGUCGGCUACUGAUCGUCGCCUUGGUGAGCCAUUACCUCACCAACUAGCUAAUCAGACGCGGGUCCAUCUCACACCGAUAAAUCUUUUCCGUCCGGGCCAUGCGGCCCUAGCGGGUUAUGCGGUAUUAGCAGUCAUUUCUAACUGUUAUCCCCCUGUGUGAGGCAGGUUACCCACGCGUUACUCACCCGUCCCG
rnacentral:rRNA from 1 species